GGGCCAAGGUCGGAGCCCCCAGCCUCUGGCAACACCAGAACCCUCCUGGGGCACUGGGGACUCCAGGGGCAGCAGAUGGGAAGACAGCUCAGGUGUUUCAGUGGCUCUGGGGACUGGGCCCAGGGUCUUUACACUGAGCUAUAGCCUAGCCCUCAUUUUUUAUUCCAAGAUAGGGCCUCAUUCCCCAAGCUACCCAGGCUGGGCUGGAGCGUGCCAUCCUCCUGCCUCAGCCUCCCAGAGUGCUAGACUAUGUGACUGGGUGGCCUCAAGGAUCUCUUUGUGUCCCCCAGCACAGGCGGGGAUGAGCCCCAUGGCAGCAGGGCCAUGCUGCCCUGGGGCCAUCGAACCCAGACCAGAGCCCACAUCCCAACAACCUGCAGAGGACACACACUCCAGGACGUGGAGACAGAAACCACACUGUGGAGAGAAGCCAAUGCAAAGCGGAGCCCUCCGGCCACUGUCUCCCACCGCAACGCCACGGCUGGAGCAGCACUCAGCGUGGAGUAAUACAAAGCCACCCACAUCUGAGCCGGGGUGACACUGGGCAGCCAGUGUCCACACCGAACUGAAAUGAGGGGCAGGGAGGACGCUCUGCAAAGGACAGUCUUCUGAAGGUCUAAGAACAUUCGACUGCAGAACUGCCCUGGGUCUGGAAACCUGGAAACCUAAAACACACACACACACACACACACACACACACACACACACAC